UCAAAAUAGGAUUAAAUAUAUUUAAAAUCUAAUGUUAAAAAUAAAAAAGAAAAGAGAAAAAAACACCAUGCACUAAAUCAAAAUCUGACUUAAUAUUGUGGGACUAAAUUAGCAAUUAGACGCAAAAAAUAAAUAAUCAAAACCAAUCGCAAAAAUGGCACCGUUUGACCAUGGAUUUAAAUGAAAACAAGGUUAAAUAUGCGAUACAAAUUAAGAAAAAUGGAAAGAAAUCCGAUUGAAGCUGAGCAAAAC
rnacentral:lncRNA from 1 species